rnacentral:rRNA from 1 species
UGUUGAAAGCUUGCUGGAUAUACAACUUAGUGGCGGACGGGUGAGUAACACGUGAGUAACCUGCCUCUCAGAGUGGAAUAACGUUUGGAAACGAACGCUAAUACCGCAUAACGUGAGAAGAGGGCAUCCUCUUUUUACCAAAGAUUUAUCGCUGAGAGAUGGGCUCGCGGCCGAUUAGGUAGUUGGUGAGAUAACAGCCCACCAAGCCGACGAUCGGUGGCCGGACUGAGAGGUUGAUCGGCCACAUUGGGACUGAGACACGGCCCAGACUCCUACGGGAGGCAGCAGUGGGGGAUAUUGCACAAUGGGGGAAACCCUGAUGCAGCGACGCCGCGUGAGGGAAGACGGUUUUCGGAUUGUAAACCUCUGUCUUUAGGGACGAAAAAAAUGACGGUACCUAAGGAGGAAGCCACGGCUAACUACGUGCCAGCAGCCGCGGUAAUACGUAGGUGGCAAGCGUUGUCCGGAAUUACUGGGUGUAAAGGGAGCGUAGGCGGGGAGACAAGUUGAAUGUCUAAACUAUCGGCUUAACUGAUAGUCGCGUUCAAAACUAUCACUCUUGAGUGCAGUAGAGGUAGGCGGAAUUCCUAGUGUAGCGGUGAAAUGCGCCGAUAUUAGGAGGAAC